rnacentral:rRNA from 1 species
GACGAACGCUGGCGGCGUGCUUAACACAUGCAAGUCGAACGGAAAGGCCCUGCUUUUGUUGGGUGCUCGAGUGGCGAACGGGUGAGUAACACGUGAGUAACCUGCCCUUGACUUUGGGAUAACUUCAGGAAACUGGGGCUAAUACCGGAUAGGAGCUCCUGCUGCAUGGUGGGGGUUGGAAAGUUUCGGCGGUUGGGGAUGGACUCGCGGCUUAUCAGCUUGUUGGUGUGGUAGUGGCUUACCAAGGCUUUGACGGGUAGCCGGCCUGAGAGGGUGACCGGCCACAUUGGGACUGAGGUACGGCCCAGACUCCUACGGGAGGCAGCAGUGGGAAAUAUUGCGCAAUGGGCGGAAGCCUGAUGCAGCAACGCCGCGUGCGGGAUGACGGCCUUCGGGUUGUAAACCGCUUUCGCCUGUAACGAAGCGUGAGUGACGGUAAUGGGUAAGAAAGCACCGGCUAACUACGUG